UGGCGAACGGGUGAGUAACGCGUGAGCAACCUGCCUUACACAAAGGGAUAGCCUCGGGAAACCGGGAUUAAUACCAUAUGAGACCCCAGUAUCGAAUGAUACAGAGGUUAAAGAUUUAUCGGUGUAAGAUGGGCUCGCGUCUGAUUAGCUAGUUGGUGAGAUAAAAGCUCACCAAGGCGACGAUCAGUAACCGGCUUGAGAGAGUGAACGGUCACAUUGGAACUGAGACACGGUCCAAACUCCUACGGGAGGCAGCAGUGGGGAAUAUUGCACAAUGGGGGAAACCCUGAUGCAGCGACGCCGCGUGAACGAUGAAGGCCUUCGGGUCGUAAAGUUCUGUCCUUGGUAAAGAUAAUGACGGUAACCAAGGAGGAAGCACCGGCUAAAUACGUGCCAGCAGCCGCGGUAAUACGUAUGGUGCGAGCGUUGUCCGGAAUUAUUGGGCGUA
rnacentral:rRNA from 1 species